UACAGAGGUCUCGAGCGUUGUUCGGAUUCAUUGGGCGUAAAGGGUGCGUAGGUGGCGUGGUAAGUCUGGUGUGAAAUCCCGGGGCUCAACCCGGAACUGCACUGGAUACUGCCAUGCUUGAGUACUGGAGAGGAGAUUGGAAUUUACGGUGUAGCAGUGAAAUGCGUAGAUAAUCGUAAGGAAGACCAGUGGCGAAGGCGAAUCUCUGGACAGUUACUGACACUGAGGCACGAAGGCCAGGGAGACAAACGGG
rnacentral:rRNA from 1 species